rnacentral:rRNA from 1 species
UACGGGGGGGGCAAGCGUUGUCCGGAUUUAUUGGGCGUAAAGAGCGUGUAGGCGGCCAGACAGGUCCGUUGUGAAAACUCGAGGCUCAACCUCGAGACGCCGAUGGAAACCGUUUGGCUAGAGUCCGGAAGAGGAGAGUGGAAUUCCUGGUGUAGCGGUGAAAUGCGCAGAUAUCAGGAAGAACACCCGUGGCUAAGGCGGCUCUCUAGUACGGUACUGACGCUGAGACGCGAAAGCGUGGGGAGCGAACAGG